rnacentral:rRNA from 1 species
GACGUAGGUGGCGAACGUUAUCCGGAAUUAUUGGGCGUAAAGGGUGCGUAGAUGGUCUGAUAAGUUAGUAGUGGGAAAUCGAGGCUCAACCUCGUGGGAAACUGGUAAUACUAUCAGGCUCGAGUUCAGGAGAGGUUAACGGAACUCCAUGUGGAGCGGUAAAAUGCGUGGAUAUAUGGAAGAACACCAAUAACGGCGAAGGCAGUUAACUAUUCUGUUACUGACAUUGAGGCACGAAAGCGUGGGGAGCAAAACGG